rnacentral:rRNA from 1 species
UACGUAGGGUGCAAGCGUUAAUCGGAAUUACUGGGCGUAAAGGGUGCGCAGGCGGCCCCGCAUGUCAGGCGUGAAAUCCCCGAGCUCAACUUGGGAAUGGCGCUUGAAACUACGGGGCUGGAGUGUGGCAGAGGGAGGUGGAAUUCCACGUGUAGCGGUGAAAUGAGUAGAUAUGUGGAGGAACACCGAUGGCGAAGGCAGCCUCCUGGGCCAACACUGACGCUCAUGCACGAAAGCGUGGGGAGCAAACAGG